rnacentral:rRNA from 1 species
GACGAACGCUGGCGGCGUGCUUAACACAUGCAAGUCGAACGGAAAGGCCCUGCUUUUGUGGGGUGCUCGAGUGGCGAACGGGUGAGUAACACGUGAGUAACCUGCCCUUGACUUUGGGAUAACUUCAGGAAACUGGGGCUAAUACCGGAUAGGAGCUCCUGCUGCAUGGUGGGGGUUGGAAAGUUUCGGCGGUUGGGGAUGGACUCGCGGCUUAUCAGCUUGUUGGUGGGGUAGUGGCUUACCAAGGCUUUGACGGGUAGCCGGCCUGAGAGGGUGACCGGCCACAUUGGGACUGAGAUACGGCCCAGACUCCUACGGGAGGCAGCAGUGGGGAAUAUUGCACAAUGGGCGGAAGCCUGAUGCAGCAACGCCGCGUGCGGAUGACGGCCUUCGGGUUGUAAACCGCUUUCGCCUGUGACGAAGCGUGAGUGGCGGUAAUGGGUAAAGAAGCACCGGCUAACUACGUG